rnacentral:rRNA from 1 species
CCUACGGGAGGCAGCAGUAGGGAAUCUUCCACAAUGGGCGAAAGCCUGAUGGAGCAACGCCGCGUGGGUGAAGAAGGUCUUCGGAUCGUAAAACCCUGUUGUUAGAGAAGAAAGUGCGUGAGAGUAACUGUUCACGUUUCGACGGUAUCUAACCAGAAAGCCACGGCUAACUACGUGCCAGCAGCCGCGGUAAUACGUAGGUGGCAAGCGUUAACCGGAUUUAUUGGGCGUAAAGGGAACGCAGGCGGUCUUUUAAGUCUGAUGUGAAAGCCUUCGGCUUAACCGGGGUAGUGCAUUGGAGACUGGGAGACUUGAGUGCAGAAGAGGAGAGUGGAACUCCAGGUGUAGCGGUGAAAUGCGUAGAUAUAUGGAAGAACACCAGUGGCGAAAGCGGCUCUCUGGACUGUAACUGACGCUGAGGUUCGAAAGCGUGGGUAGCAAACAGGAUUAGAUACCCUUGUAGUC